GAUGAACGCUGGCGGCGUGCCUAAUACAUGCAAGUCGAGCGAAUGGAUUAAGAGCUUGCUCUUAUGAAGUUAGCGGCGGACGGGUGAGUAACACGUGGGUAACCUGCCCAUAAGACUGGGAUAACUCCGGGAAACCGGGGCUAAUACCGGAUAACAUUUUGAACCGCAUGGUUCGACAUUGAAAGGCGGCUUCGGCUGGCACUUAUGGAUGGACCCGCGUCGCAUUAGCUAGUUGGUGAGGUAACGGCUCACCAAGGCAACGAUGCGUAGCCGACCUGAGAGGGUGAUCGGCCAAACUGGGACUGAGACACGGCCCAGACUCCUACGGGAGGGAGCAGUAGGGAAUCUUCCGCAAUGGACGAAAGUCUGACGGAGCAACGCCGCGUGAGUGAUGAAGGCUUUCGGGUCGUAAAACUCUGUUGUUAGGGAAGAACAAGUGCUAGUUGAAUAAGCUGGCACCUUGACGGUACCUAACCAGAAAGCCACGGCUAACUACGUGCCAGCCGCCGCGGUAA
rnacentral:rRNA from 1 species